AAGAACCUGAAUUUUCAUGAAUGGAAAAAAAGCAGUGAAAUAAAAUUGAGUGAAAACAAUAGGAAAAAUGGAUCUGAAUGUAAACCUAAAAACACAACAGUAGUAACAUGCUAAAUAAGCACCCUAGGCAUAAAUCAUUCUAGGUGACAAACUUGGUGAAAAAUACAACAGCAUUCACGUUGUGCUAUGGUCCUAUGGACUAUAGAUACAGGACUUGCAAAAUUUGCCAGUGCAUGAGUAUGCUAU
rnacentral:misc_RNA from 1 species